rnacentral:rRNA from 1 species
GACGAACGCUGGCGGCGUGCUUAACACAUGCAAGUCGAACGGAAAGGCCCUGCUUGCAGGGUACUCGAGUGGCGAACGGGUGAGUAACACGUGGGUGAUCUGCCCUGCACUUCGGGAUAAGCUUGGGAAACUGGGUCUAAUACCGGAUAGGAACCAUCUUUAGUGUGGUGGUUGGAAAGUUUUUUCGGUGUAGGAUGAGCUCGCGGCCUAUCAGCUUGUUGGUGGGGUAAUGGCCUACCAAGGCGGCGACGGGUAGCCGGCCUGAGAGGGUGUACGGCCACCUUGGGACUGAGAUACGGCCCAGACUCCUGCGUGAGGCAGCAGUGGGGAAUAUUGCACAAUGCGCGCAAGCCUGAUGCAGCGACGCCGCGUGGGGGAUGAAGGCCUUCGGGUUGUAAACUCCUUUCGCUAGGGACGAAGCUUUGUUGUGACGGUACCUAGAUAAGAAGCACCGGCUAACUACGUG